AUACGUAGGGGGCGAGCGUUGUCCGGAAUGAUUGGGCGUAAAGGGCGCGUAGGCGGCCCGGUAAGUCUGGAGUGAAAGUCCUGUUUUUAAGAUGGGAAUUGCUUUGGAUACUGUCGGGCUUGAGUGCAGGAGAGGUAAGUGGAAUUCCCAGUGUAGCGGUGAAAUGCGUAGAGAUUGGGAGGAACACCAGUGGCGAAGGCGACUUUCUGGACUGUAACUGACGCUGAGGCGCGAAAGUGUGGGGAGCAAACAGGAUUAGAUACCCUGGUAGUCCACACUGUAAACGAUGAAUGCUAGGUGUAGGGGGUAUCGACCCCUUCUGUGCCGCAGUCAACACAAUAAGCAUUCCGCCUGGGGAGUACGGCCGCAAGGUUGAAACUCAAAGGAAUUGACGGGG
rnacentral:rRNA from 1 species